GCGUCUGCUUCAGCGGCACACAUGCUAAAAUUGGAACCAUACCGAGAAGAUUAGCAUGGCCCCUGCACAAAGAUGACUGGCAAAUUUGUGAAGCAUUCCAUUUAAAA
rnacentral:snRNA from 1 species